rnacentral:rRNA from 1 species
UACGAAGGGGGCUAGCGUUGUUCGGAAUUACUGGGCGUAAAGGGCUCGUAGGCGGCCAACUAAGUCAGACGUGAAAUCCCUCAGCUUAACUGGGGAACUGCGUCCGAUACUGGUGGGCUUGAAUCCGGGAGAGGGAUGUGGAAUUCCAGGUGUAGCGGUGAAAUGCGCAGAUAUCGGUGAGAACACCCGGUGGCGAAGGCGGGUCUC